UACGUAGGGUGCGAGCGUUGUCCGGAAUUAUUGGGCGUAAAGAGCUCGUAGGCGGUGUGUCGCGUCGGCCGUGAAAACUUGCAGCUUAACUGUGGGCGUGCGGUCGAUACGGGCAUCACUGGAGUUCGGCAGGGGAGACUGGAAUUCCUGGUGUAGCGGUGAAAUGCGCAGAUAUCAGGAGGAACACCGGUGGCGAAGGCGGCGACCUGGGUCGAUACUGACGCUGAUGCGCGAAAGCGUGGGGAGCAAACAGG
rnacentral:rRNA from 1 species